rnacentral:rRNA from 1 species
AGACGAACCGGACAAACGUUAUUCGGAAUUACUGGGCUUAAAGGGUGCGUAGGCUGCACGGAAAGUUGGGUGUGAAAGCCCUCAGCUCAACUGAGGAAUUGCAUCCAAAACUGCCGUGCUUGAGGGAGACAGAGGUGAGCGGAACUCAAGGUGGAGCGGUGAAAUGCGUUGAUAUCUUGAGGAACACCGGUGGCGAAAGCGGCUCACUGGGUCUCUUCUGACGCUGAGGCACGAAAGCUAAGGUAGCAAACGGGAUUAGAAACCCCGGUAGUCC